GACGAACCGUGCGAACGUUGUUCGGAAUCACUGGGCUUAAAGGGCGCGUAGGCGGCCUUCUAAGUCGAACGUGAAAUCCCCGGGCUCAACCCGGGAACUGCGUCCGAGACUGGAAGGCUCGAAUCCGGGAGAGGGAUGUGGAAUUCCAGGUGUAGCGGUGAAAUGCGUAGAUAUCUGGAGGAACACCGGUGGCGAAGGCGGCAUCCUGGACCGACACUGACGCUGAGGAGCGAAAGCCAGGGGAGCAAACAGG
rnacentral:rRNA from 1 species